rnacentral:rRNA from 1 species
CGUGGUGAACCUGCGGAGGGAUCAUUACCGAGUUUACAACUCCCAAACCCCUGUGAACAUACCAAUUGUUGCCUCGGCGGAUCAGCCCGCUCCCGGUAAAACGGGACGGCCCGCCAGAGGACCCCUAAACUCUGUUUCUAUAUGUAACUUCUGAGUAAAACCAUAAAUAAAUCAAAACUUUCAACAACGGAUCUCUUGGUUCUGGCAUCGAUGAAGAACGCAGCAAAAUGCGAUAAGUAAUGUGAAUUGCAGAAUUCAGUGAAUCAUCGAAUCUUUGAACGCACAUUGCGCCCGCCAGUAUUCUGGCGGGCAUGCCUGUUCGAGCGUCAUUUCAACCCUCAAGCCCUCGGGUUUGGUGUUGGGACUCGCGAGUUAAAUCGCGUUCCCCAAAUUGAUUGGCGGUCACGUCGAGCUUCCAUAGCGUAGUAGUAAAACCCUCGUUACUGGUAAUCGUCGCGGCCACGCCGUUAAACCCCAACUUCUGAAUGUUGACCUCG